ACUUGAAGCCUAGUUCUAUUAAAUAAUAUAUACAUCCCAUAAAAUUUAAACAAAAUAAAACAUUUUCUUAAGUUUAGUACAAGUGACUUGANANUCUAAGAGAAACUAUAAUUAACGNACCGCAAGGGAAAGGUGAAAUAAUNUGAAAUAAACUAAGGUAAAAAAAG
rnacentral:rRNA from 1 species